rnacentral:sRNA from 12 species
ACAGCCGGAUGGGAGUUAUACCGCAGUAGCCCAUUGUCGUAUAUCGGAGAGCGAUGUCAGAUGUACGGACGGUGU